UACGGGGGGGGCAAGCGUUGUUCGGAAUUACUGGGCGUAAAGGGCCAGUAGGCGGCCUGCUAAGUCGAACGUGAAAUCCCCGGGCUCAACCCGGGAACUGCGUCCGAUACUGGCAGGCUUGAAUUCGGGAGAGGGAUGCGGAAUUCCAGGUGUAGCGGUGAAAUGCGUAGAUAUCUGGAGGAACACCGGUGGCGAAGGCGGCAUCCUGGACCGAAAUUGACGCUGAGGCGCGAAAGCCAGGGGAGCAAACGGG
rnacentral:rRNA from 1 species